rnacentral:lncRNA from 1 species
AAUAACAAAUGACCCCGCACUCGUCAUAAAAUUUGUCUCGCCUUAAUACAGCAUUACGAUGUGAAAUUUUGGGGUUUCAAACCCUCAGGAUAUCAUUUACAAUCAUUACUCACCUCGAACCGGCUAUUUCUUUAAUUCGCGACGCUUUUGCCCCUCGAAUUAGCCUCCACGUGUGUCGAAUCUGCCCAAAAUCACAAUGAAUAUGUUGCAUUAUACUAAAGAUACAAUACCCAAUUGAAAGAAAUAAAAAAAUAUCAAAAUUCACGAAUUUGACAAAACUGAGCCCCGGGCCCACGUCUCGAAACUCCAAAAUUUAUAUAUCAAAAUUUUCUUCGUCCUCUCCCGAUUCCGUACGUAUAAAGAACACAAAAAUCGGAGCUCGUUUGAUCCCUCAAAUCGACCCUAAAGGUCUCAAAAUCACAAGCCCUAAACCCACAUUUUUCUACUGAUUUUCUCCAACUAAAUACUUCAAAAACAUGUAAUCUUGUCAGAUAUUCAACGAUAAUUUAAUAUUAUGGAGUAGAAAUGAUCACAAGUGACUUACCUCAAGAUUUUCCAUGAUUUCUUGCUCGAAUAUCGCCCCAAGCCGUGUGCUUCCACCCAAAAACGCUAAAAUGGGUUGAACAGCAUUAAAAGGACUCAUUCCGGUCGCUAAAAGCCUAAUCCCGUCGCUAAUAGUACCCAAAUCUGGUCGCUAAAGGUGCGCACCAGAUGCUGUUGCACCAGCAAUAUUUAUUUUCACUAAAAACACCCUAACUCCACCAUACGAACUCAAAAUUCGAUGAUUCUUAUUCCUAUGAGUCACAAAUAAUAAUACGAACAUAUUCCUUCAAUUGAUACUCAAAUUCGGAGUUUAUUUGCUCAGUGUGAUACUCAUUUCACUUGUUAAACAAUUAACUCACAUUUCGUGUCAAAAUUUCAAUUGCGGCAUGAUGAAAUUAAACCAAACUUUUCAAAUCACUCAUAUAAUUUAUUAUCAAAAUCUCGAAAGUCUCAAAAUCAAAUUUCGUAUAUACAACUAAAAAUGGACCUUUGGAUCAUUACAUGCUUAUGCUCAAAAUGCCAACAUCAUCCAAAAACUCUUUCAAAACUUCUCCGAGCCUCUUGGGAUCCCAACAAAGUAUACUAACAAGUCCCAAAAUAUGACACAAGCUUAGUUGUUCCUUCGAAUCACCAAAAACAACGCAAAAAUACUAAAUUCACCUUGCAUUCAAGUAUGUGAACUUUGAAACUUCUAACUUCCACAUCUGAUGCUGAAACACCUCAAAACUAGUCCGAAUGACCUCAAAUUUUACAGACAAGUCAAAAUGACAUAACGAAGCUACAACGACUCUCAGAAUUCUAUUCCGACACUCGAAUCAAAAUCUCAUCUAUCAAUCGGAAUUCGCCAAAAUACUAACUUUGCCAAUUCAAGCUUAAUUCUACACCGGUCAUCACAAAAAUAUUCCGGACACACUCCUAAGUUUCAAAUCACCUAACGAAGCUAUCUGAACCAUAAAAUUUGCAUUUUGAGCCCUCUAACACAUAAGUCAAUAUCUAGUUGACUUUUCCAACUUAAGCUUCCUUAAAAGAGAUUAAGUGUCUCAAACCUUGCCAAAAUCAUUCCGGAAUGACUACAAAUUUUGCACACAAGUCACAUUCGACAUUACGGACUUGCCCCAACUAUCAGAAUUGCAUUUCGACACCGAUAUCAAAAUCUCCACUUCCGGUCGAAUUUUAUCAAAAACCUUCGAAUUUCUCUAUUUAGCAAAAUGACUUCAAAAUGACCUCCGGACAUCCGAAUUCACUUCCGAUCGCGCUCCCAACUCCAGAAUCACCAUACGAAGUUAUUCCCAGACUCGAAAUCCUAAACGGACAUCUAUAUCACUGAAAUGCCUUCCAACCCUAAUUUAUAAUAUUCUUCUAAAAUACUAAAUUCCACAAUAUACGCUGAAAUGCCCACGGGUUAUCCAAAACCAAAUCUAGACAUACACCCAAGUCUCUAAUCAUCAUAGGAACAUGCUGGAAUAUUUAGAUCCCGAUUCCGAGAUCGUUUACUCGAAAUUCCAAUCUUAGCCAUUUUCUUCAACUUAAGCUCGCCGCAAUGAAAAUAUUCUUUCCAAUUUGACUCUGAAUUUUCUGAAAUUCAGCUCUAACAAUACGCACAAGUCAAUAUACAUGAAAUGAAAUUGUUCAUGACUUCCAACUACUGAACGACGUGCUAGAGAUCAAAACGACCGGGUCGUUACAAUAAAAAUAAUGAAAAGUAAAUCUUUGAAAAUUCUUUAUUAUUUGAGAAGUUAUUUACCUGCUUUCCAGCUUUGUGAGUUUAUUUCUUCUUUAUGAAAUUCAUGAUUUUCUCACAUUUUUACUAUAUUACCAUUAGACCACUAGUAAGUAUUGAAGUCGAUCUCUCAUCUCUAUUUCUUCGAGAUUAGACGGGUUACUCACUGGGUACACGUUGUUUCCGUAAUUAUACUACACUUGUUAUGCAUUUUUGUUGCAUAGGUUCAUGCAUGGCUAGUGGUUUAGUGGCAUAGCGGCAUGGUUGAUAUAGAGACUUAGGUAAGCUGUAUUUACCGAGACGACUCGCAGUCAGCAGAGUCUCAAUCCGAUUACUUUACUGUAUUAUUUCAUUCAUGUCCAAUUGUAUUUCGAACAAUUAUUGUAUUUCAUUCCACUCCCUAGUAAAUGCUCAUGCACUUUUGACACCGGGUUCUAUGAUGAUUAUAGGGUAUUUGUAUUAAUUUCAGACAUUUUUAUUAAAUUUUGAAACAAUAUCUUUUACUCGUAAAAUCGAAGGAAAAAUCAUAGUUUUCAACAUUGUUAAAACAAGGCAUAAAUUAAAUAUUUAUGAUUGGUUUGCCUGAGAGCGAUGUCCGGCGCCAUCACAACCCUUAGUAAAUUUUGGAUCGUGACACUUAGUGACCAAAGAAGAGCCUACGAGUUCAGAAGGAUGCACAUAUAGAAGGUGACAUGGAUGCGUAAAAUCACAAGGAAGAUGACUUGUACCAUUAUGCUCAACAAGAGUAAAAAUAUUCACAAAGGAGGAAGAUGAGGUACCGACGAGAUCUCCAUCAAACAAAACUCUCAAAUACACACACACACAUACUCAAUCGCACAAUUCGUUGACUUCUAGAUAAAAUAUUGAUAAAACCUUAAGGCAUGUAAUCAAUGAUUAAAAAAUAGUAAACAAAGGAAAAGAUGUACAACAACUCUUCGCAACCGGAAGAGUACGAACUUGAAAUGAAGAGAAUUUACCCAGGAUGCUCCGAAAAAUCCAGAAAAUGAUGACUUCAAACUCAGGCGAGGAUGAAGGCUGACAUACAUCGUUGCAAUAGGAAAAAUUUAGACUUCAGAGAUCAACCGCAAAUAGACAACACAAAACCAGCAAUGAACUCGAACAAUCGCAAAUAAGAACAUGAAAAUGUCAAGUUGAAAAAUUCCCCAAUCAAAUGAAAACAGCAUUGAUACUCUUCGAGGGUAACAUCUAAUGAUAGAGAACAAUCGGAUCUAUGAGAUUUUGAACUCUGAUACCAUGUUAACAACGAAAAUGAGAUAAAAUUAAUGGAAUUUGUUCUAGGGUUUUACUAUGGCCGAGAGAGAGAAAGAAGGCUUUCUUUCAUAUGUCAAAAUGAGAAAUGUACAUUUUGUUCUGUAUUAGCCCUCUUGGGUCUCAUUAUGUGUCCCGACCAACUAUACAACAAAUUAAAGAGAGAAGAUUCAAGAACAAUUACAAAGCAAUGUGGGUCUAGCCCAAUACAAAUAAAACUUGGUCUAACACAUAAGUCUAGCUAAUCUAUACUUGGGUCAAUAUUUCCAACAAGAUAUAUCAUAUAUGCCUUAGCAUCAAUGCUUG